rnacentral:rRNA from 1 species
UACGAAGGGGGCUAGCGUUGCUCGGAAUCACUGGGCGUAAAGCGCACGUAGGCGGAUUGUUAAGUCAGGGGUGAAAUCCUGGAGCUCAACUCCAGAACUGCCUUUGAUACUGGCGAUCUCGAGUCCGGGAGAGGUGAGUGGAACUGCGAGUGUAGAGGUGAAAUUCGUAGAUAUUCGCAAGAACACCAGUGGCGAAGGCGGCUCACUGGCCGGUACUGACGCUGACGGUGCGAAAGCG